GACGAAGGGGGCUAGCGUUGCUCGGAAUUACUGGGCGUAAAGCGCACGUAGGCGGAUUGUUAAGUCGGGGGUGAAAUCCUGGAGCUCAACUCCAGAACUGCCUUCGAUACUGGCGAUCUCGAGUUCGGGAGAGGUGAGUGGAACUGCGAGUGUAGAGGUGAAAUUCGUAGAUAUUCGCAAGAACACCAGUGGCGAAGGCGGCUCACUGGCCCGAUACUGACGCUGAGGUGCGAAAGCGUGGGGAGCAAACAGG
rnacentral:rRNA from 2 species